GGGGUACUAGCUCAUCUGGUAGAGCGCAACAAUGGCAUUGUUGAGGUGAGGAGUUCGAGUCUCCUGUGCUCCA
rnacentral:tRNA from 1 species